rnacentral:rRNA from 1 species
UACGUAGGGGGCGAGCGUUGUCCAGAGUUACUGGGCGUAAAGGGCAUGCAGGCGGUCCGACACGUUUUGUGUGACAGCGGGUGGCUUAACUACCCGAGGAUACGAAAGACGGUAGGACUUGAGGACUCGAGAGGGACACGGAAUUCCGGGUGGAGUGGUGAAAUGCGUAGAGAUCCGGAGGAACACCGAAGGCGAAGGCAGUGUCCUGGCGAGUGACUGACGCUGAGGUGCGAAAGCCAGGGGAGCGAACGGG